UUUUGGUACAGCAACAUCUGAUGAGAUACAAAACAACAUAUCAAUAUGAUGCGGUGUUUGCUCUUGGUUUUGUGACCGUCUAUGACCAACUCAUGGAAGGGUACCCUAGCAAUGAGGAUAGGGAUGCAAUCUUCAAAGCAUAUAUAACAGCGUUAAACGAAGACCCUGAGCAAUACAGAGCUGACGCACAAAAGAUGGAAGAGUGGGCUCGUUCCCAGAAUGGUAAUUCUUUAGUUGAGUUUUCAUCCAAAGAUGGAGAAAUAGAGGCCAUUCUGAAAGAUAUUUCAGAAAGGGCCCAGGGUAAGGGAAGCUUCAGCUACAGCCGGUUCUUUGCAGUUGGCUUGUUCCGUUUGCUUGAGCUUGCAAAUGCAACAGAGCCAACCAUACUAGACAAGCUUUGCGCUGCUCUAAACAUCAACAAAAGAAGUGUCGACAGGGAUCUCGAUGUUUACCGGAACAUACUCUCCAAAUUGGUCCAGGCUAAGGAACUUCUCAAGGAAUACGUGGAAAGGGAAAAGAAGAAG
rnacentral:misc_RNA from 1 species